UACAGACGUAGACAAAAGUCAUUAGAAAUGGUGUCGACAAACGAAGAUAUUGUUGGAAUCAAGACAAGUUUGAUGUAUCCACGAGAAGAAGAAACACGUGAUUCAAAGAGAUAUGUUGCUUUUAAUUACCAGAAAAAAGAUUACAAAUUCCAUCCUCUAGAGAUAAAUUUCGCCCAGUCUAUAUUAAGCUCAAGCAGAACGAUUAAUUACAUGGACCUCUUCCAAUGUUCUCAAGAUAAAACUGAUUAUGGAUCAGGAUCAGAUUCUGCCGAGGAAGAAUGGAGUCCAUAUAGCUCUACAGAUAACCUAAUGUAUGAAGAAAUGGCACCUUCUGGAAAAACAAACAAAAAUAGUUCAAGACAACAACGGCUUCAAAGGUCUUCUUGUCAAAUUGACGAACAACUUGUAGAACAAAGUGCUUUGUUUUUUGAAAAAGACUGUGUAGUGCAGCAUAUGACCGGACCAAAUGUACAAGAAGACAAUACAACAGCACGUGGGACUCUUGCAUGAUCAGGAAAAGGAUAUAAUUCGAUAUUAUUACCAAUGCUUGAAGUCCUAUCAGUUAAAAAUGUAGUGAUGCCUGAGAAUUACUAUACGCGGUUGGCUACCUUUCGUGAAAAUAAGGUAUGCUGGCCACAUGAUAAUCCUUCUGCAGAAGACAUGACCAUUGCUGGAUUUAUUUUCAGAGGCGUGUUUACGACAGUCUGUGAUAAGGUCGAGUGUGACAAAUGUGGAGGGACACUCUAUGGAUUUGAGGAAGGAGACGAUCCCAUUGCAGAACAUGAAAGAUUAUAUCCGCAGUGUAAAUGAAAGAUAUAACAUUCAGAAGACCAUCAGAGAACUUUAGGCUUUAAUUCACAUAGGAAAUUAUGACAGGACUAUUUUCUUUUUCCUUAUGGGGGCAAUGGCUUUUUGAUUUAAUUUCAACUCCUUCUAAAAUACAAAAGUUUAAGAAUACCUUAUACAGCACGCGUUAGUUGAAAAUCACCUGCUUAGGAGAUCAUAUAUUGAAGGAACAAAUAACCUUAAAUCUAUGAAUGAAGUGAACUAAGAUAGCAACUGAUUGUUAUUGUAUUUUCGAUUUAUUUCCAACACAAUGCAAACAUUGACAGGUCCCAGUUGAAAGUGUAUUACAGUAACAAAGUGGCGAAGCUCUACAAAUGCUAAAGUGUUCAAUCGUUGUGAAGACUGACUAUGAAUAAACAACACUAUAUAUAUAGAAACAGUGUUAUAAUUUCAAGAAGUAGCAUAGAAUCGCUCGAUUCCAACAAUAUGCCUAAAAUUACCUUCUUCACUUGACUCCGAAAUUCACAUUUUUUGGUGACUGACAAACAUACUGAUACGUUUAAAAGAAUAGGAAUUACAUUAAAAAAAUGUUUAUACUGAGUACUUUUAAAUAUUGUAUUAUGAGAACGUUAAUAAUGGCCAAAGCAUAAAUGUAUAUAGCUAUGUAAACAAUUUUUGUACAAUUAUCUACUUAUCUUUUCAAUGCCUGGCACUUUCCUUAUCAGUACGUGUUAAGUAUCAAUAACUGAAUUAGAUCUUUAAAUUUCUUUAAUGCUAUUUUCAAUAUGUCGUGUCAAUUCAAUGAUACAAAGUUCAGGAUGGAUUUAGUUGACAUUUUGAUUCUACUUAAUUCCUUUCUAUUAUGUUCUAUAUUGUGACAAAGUUUUGCCAUAUGGUAGGUUUGUGAAAAUAUCAUACGUUAUAAACAAUACUAUUCAGGUUUUAACCAACUCGAUGGUCCCGCAGCUGCUUCAUGUACGAAAACUAUGAAAAAGCAAGAUAAUACUCUUAAAUAUUAAGCAUUUGGGAUUAUUUUUGUUUUAGAUUGCUUUGUUUGCUUUUUCGAGGAGUUAAUAAUAUUUGUGAUAUCAAAACAAAUCCUUUCGAGAACCAAUAACAUU